rnacentral:lncRNA from 1 species
GUCUCAGAGCGAGUGACGUCGCCGAUUGAAACGCUAUUAGCGCGCACCACCGCUAACUAACUAGCCAUUUCACAUCGGUUACAUAGGCAACAUCACCUCCGCCACUCUGACCCUCAACACGGGGUGUGUGCUUAGUCCCCUCCUAUACCCCCUGUUCACCCACAACUGCAUGGCCACUCACGACUCCAACACCAUUAAGUUUGCUAACGACACAACAUGGUAGGCCUGAUCACUGGUGGCGAUGGGACAGCCUACAGGGAGGAGGUCAGUGACCUGGCAGUGUGGAGCCAGGACAACAACCUCUCAAUGUCAGUAAGACCAAGGAGCUGAUCGUGGGAACGGAGGGCCCAGCACGCCCCUAUCCACACUGAUGGGGCUGCAGUGGAGCUGGUUGAGCGGUUCAAGUUUCUCGGUGUACAAAUCACCUACACUUGGUAUGGCAACAGCACCGCUCUCGAUCGCAUGGCGCUACAAAGGGUGGUGCAGAAAGCCCAGUACAUCACUGGGGCUGAGCUCCCUGCCAUCCAAGACCUCUAUUUCAGGUGGUGUGAAAGGAAGAUCCGGAAGAUCGUGUAACUCAGUAAAAUCUUUGAACUUGUUGCAUGUUGCGUUUAUAUUUCUGUUCAGUAUAUACACCUUGUUCAACUAUUCAUGGUUUACAAUUGAGUCCACAAUUAGUUGAGGUGUUAGUGAAGGGCUGGAACAAAUACCUGUAAACUCCUGUCCUGUGUAAAAACAACAACAACCGGUAGUUGUCAGGACUACAUUUUCCCUCAUGUACUAAACAAGCUUUUGAGGUUCCUCCUCUUGUUAUGUACCCCACUUGGGGAUGACUUAUUUUGUACAAUGGACUGUGUUCUAAAGACUCAUGCACAGAUACAGGAAAGCCAAUCAGUUAAUAUUUCUUACAAUUACAAGUAUUGUCUCGCCACGGUGUUGAGGCUUGGGCAACUGGGGGCUGCAGUUCAUCUGUCUAAUCCCCUGCAAGCAGAGAAAGGCAUUAAUAAUAUUAGAAUGGUGUAUUCAUUUCAUUUAAUAUAUAAUGAACAAAAAUAUAAAAGCAACAUGCAACAAGUUCAUAAAUGGACAUCAGUCAAUUUAAAUAAUGUCAUUAGGCCCUAAUAUAUGGAUUUCACAUGACUGGGCAGGGGCUCAGCCAUAGGUGGGCCUGGGAGGGCAUAGUCCCACCCACUGGGGAGCCAGACCCAGCCAAUCAGAAUGAUUUUUUCCCACAAAAAGUCUUUAUUACGGACAGAAAUACUCCUCAGUUUCAUCAGCUGCCUGGGUGGCUGGUCUCAGAUGAUCCCGCAGGUGAAGAAGCUGGAUGUGGAGGUCCAGAACUGCUGUGGUUACACGUGGUCAGCAGUUGUGAGGCCGGUCGGAUGUACUGCCAAAUUCUCUAAAACGAUGUUGGAGGUGGCUUAUGCUAGAGAAAUGAACAUUAAAUUAUCUGGCAAAAGGUCUGUUGGACAUUCCUGCACUCAGCAUGCCAAUUGCAUGAUCCCUCAAAACUUGAGACACGUGUGGCAUUAUGUUGUGUGACAAAACUGCACAUUUUAGUGUGUCCUUUUAUUGUCCCCAGCACUAGGUGCACCUGUAACAAUUAUGCUGUUUAAUCAGCUUCUUGAUAUGCCACACCUGUCAGGUGGGUGGAUUAUCUUGGCAAAGGAGAAAUGCUAACAACACCUUUGUAAUAUUGAGUUGCCCUCAAUGAAGGACUUUUAUUUUAAAAACGAACAACAAAUCCCCCUAUUGUGGCUAGCUUCACAUAGGUGCUAGCACUAUCACCUUCAAACUACUUAGCACGUUCACAUACUUGUCAUUGUAUAAAGAAAGAGACGACCAUGGCGAAUUGUGACUAUUUACAAACUCAGCUAACAUCUGUUUUGAACUCGCUUGUUAAAAUUGCGGUCGUAGAACUACUGCGAAUUGUAGAGGAUAGCGCCGUUGAACUUCGUCUGGAGGUGUCCAAGAGUAAAUUUGAGAACGAAGCACUGAAAAUUGAGAACGAAUCUAACAAAAAUAAGUUACAGAGUUUGGAAGCAGAACUGUGGACAGCGGGAAAUCGACCAUGUUCAAUAUGUUAUCGUUGUGUUGGUAUUCCAGCUCGCGGUAAAGGUGGAUGCGUCAGCCCCAAAAGAGAUAGAGAUGCUGCUGGUCCUCCUAAUUCUUCAGAGGAGGACAAUGCAUCAUCAUGGCUGCAACAAUCUGCUCAUACCAUGGAAGAGACUACAGCAGCCAUGGAGAGGGAUGGGAUUCACAUCGUUGUCAUUAAGAACGAAGCGGGGCAUGAAGGCACACAUCGGAAGAAAGACACACAGGCUGGAAGUUCAACAGAAGGUGAGCAGCCGUGUCCCAAAGUGGACAUGGUGUAUGGCAAGGAGUGGAGCCAAAGCCUGUGGCGAGACAGAGAUGCUGUCAAGGAGGACUCUGCAGGACCAUCGGUGACCCAGCGACAGUGGCUUACACCUGGGCAGUCAAGCUCUGUGGACUUACGAAAUCUGCGCCGGCGCCGAAGAGUAAGAACUCAACCGCAUCCGCAAAGGAGAGGGACCUACCUCAGGUACACCCCCGAGCAAAGGGCCAAGAUUGCGCGGAUGUGCAUGGAGGUGGGUGCACAGAUGGCCGCAGCCAUGAUGUCUGAGGAAUUGGGAAGACGCAUCAGCCCCAACACUGUGAGGUCCAUGAGGAUCAGCUACGAACAGACGGUCGAAAGCAUGGGCGUCCAGAAAGUGGAAGACCUACCCCAUUUGAGGCCAUUCAGAACAGACAUGUUUGAUGAGGAGAUUACUCGCUUCGUAAUGGUGAGGAGAAGAGCUGGAGGUCAGGUUAGCCCGUCCAUGCUGAUGGUAGCCACGCGAGACAUUGUGAUGCGCAGAAACCCGGAGAUGCUGGCAGAGAAUGGCGGUCAUAUCCUAAUCAGCACAAAUUGGGCCCGUUGUUGGCUCCGGCGGUUGGCAGGAAAUAGAAUCACGUCAAAGAGGUAGUGAAGAUAUUGCAGGAGUCCUCUACUGUUAGGACAGUGUUUUUACAUGAAUGAGAAUUCCUCAUGUCUGUGUGUUGAAGUUAAGGAAGAUGUGUAACAUUCCGUGUUGACUGGUGUCCGGUGUGAUGUUAGGAGAAUCUGCAUGCAGCAUGUAACUGGAUGCCAUUGUGCUGUGUUCUCUGAAGUUGGUGUUGGCAGUUCAUAUCUUUAGUAUUUACAUUUUCUGAAUAUUCAAACUUUUUGAAGCGAACUAUUCAGAUCAAUGCUUUUCAUAUAUUUCAUAAGGGGAUGGAUGGGUUUGGUGUUAUAACAAUGGUAUGUAACUUGGCUAAUGUCUUGUAUGAGGUAACCACAUACGGUUUUGUUAGCUUUUUAAAUUGGUGUGUAUUGUGUAUAUUGAUGUGUGUAUUGUGUAUAUUGAUGUGUGUGUGUGUAGUGUAAUUGAUGUUAUCAUGCAGGGCUCACCUGCAAAAGAGACCAUGGUAUCAGCAUGACUCCCUGUUUAAAUAAAGGUUAAAUUAAAUCAACUGUAUUAGAAGUUUAUGAAAAUAAAUAUAUAUACACCUCACAAUCCUUAGUGCCUCUUAUGUUUUAUUCAUUUAGUACCGUGAGAGAGAAUGUGUUUAUGCGAUUGUGCUACCACUACAGAGACGCAUCGGCAUAUGCCAUGAAAAAAGUAACAAAUGAAAGCUGUAACAUGUAAUAUGUCAAACACACAGGUCAAGACUGUUUCGGCUCAGAAAAGGCGGAGUGUUUGUGUAAAGAAGUCGGUCAUAGAAGAUGAACCUGCUGACUCAUCAGAUGCUGGUACCCAGCACCAGAACACCACUGAGUCCUGUGAUGUGGAGAAAAGUUGUGCAUUUGGAAGUUUUAAACCAGAAAGUUGUUUGAACUUUGAAGAAAACCACUUCUUGACUUCACCAGUCAACAUCAUGGUCCAGAAAUGUGUGAAGCUACCAGGUGCAGCAGCUGUCAUGGACACCCAAUUAGACAAGUCCAAGGACUUUGACAACAUGAACAACUCCGGAAGAAAGAAGAGAGGGAGAAAAAAUGGCCCUUGUAAAGGCAAUGUAAAUUACUGUUUUGUAUGUGGAGAGCCUCAAUCAAAGAUCUCCCGCCACUUGAAACAGCAUGAGAAGGAAAAUGCUGAAAUUGCUUAUGUCUUAAGUCUUGACAUAGCUUCAAGACAGCGGAAAGUGUUGCUGGAGAAACUGAGGAACAAGGGAAAUUUCCAACACAACACUAACGUCGUAAACAAGGGAUCCGGCUGUCUCAAAGUAAAAAGGAAACCCAAACCGAAUAGUGGCGCGAAGAGAUUUGAACCUUGUCUUUACUGUAAAGGCUACAGCUUUCAAUAAAGGGGAAGGCCUAAAAGUUGUUGCCACGGAGAAGGAUGGAAUAAAAGUACUUCGCAUCAAGAAGGAAAUAAAUGAAGGCACAGAACAUGACACACCAUGUCCAAUGACAGGUGAGCAGCCGUGUCCCAAAGUGGACAUGGUGUACGGCAAGGAGUGGAGCCAAAGCCUGUGGCGAGACGGAAAAGAAAUAGGAGACCAUAGCGACAGAACAGAGGAGAAAGAAACUCCAGGACCGUCAAUGACCCAGCAUCAGAACGGAGGUCCACUUCAGUGCAGUAAGCUGAAUCCAUCCACUCCUAACUUCAAAGUCUUCUGUGAUCCUGAACGAGACACGUAUCUCGACUAAUGACUUGAGGGAAUUUCUGAAUUCUGUUCUCCUUGUCACUGACUGGUCAUGACAGAUAGACGGCAACGUUAAGGAUCCUUGUCUUUACUUACUGGUUGGCCCACGGGACCUCCUAUAAAACUGUCUCAGAGACUUUCGGAAUCCCUCUGUCCAAUGCUACCUGACUCGUCCGCGACGUUGUGGACAAACUGGCCAAGCUGUCCCCUCUUCAGACGAGCUGGCUCUCAUGGUGGGUUUCGGGAAACUGGCCCUUCACCGGAGGUUUGAGAAGGCUGUGGGGGGCCAUAGUCGUGUGCCACGUCAGGGUCAAGAUCCCCAGUGCACCAUUCCCCCAACAAUGUCAAGGUGAGAAGCCCCUCCCCACCAUCAACUUCCAAGGGGUCUGCGACCACACAUGCCGCUUCAUCAAUGUCUUCGUGGGGCUGCCUGGGUCUAUGAGCGACUUGAAGGUGCUCAGGCAUAGUCCCCUGUGGAAAAGUGCUCCGAAGCACGACCAGUUUAACCAGCACCGUGCCAUGGCUCUCUUCUACUAACCGAGAGGACCUUCGACAUGAGAAAGUGCUGACACAUCUUCCUCCAGCCCCUCAAGCUCCACCCAAGCUUCAUCCCGAAAGUGCUUGCAAUGUGCACUGUGCUGCAUAACAUCUGCCUCCGGUCCGGGGACGUGCUGGAGCCAGUAAAGGUUGAGGACAGAAACAAGGUGACUGAGGCUCUGAAGGAGUGGCUAGUGUCGAAUGAGACCAGCAGAGAGGCGUUGAGGGACAGUUUGGCUUAACAGAUCUCUACAAUGAAAUGAAUGGCCUCAGUGAAUGAUGUGCAAGGGACAUCUGCACCGGCAAACAUGGCGGCAGUGCAAAAAGAAUAGGCUUACAACAUAGUGGUGAUGGAGAUUGAUUACUUCAGGAGCCCAUAAGCGGUGGUGGAACUGUCACUGCCGACCUUCUACGUUUUUCCUAAAACAAUUUAGCAAAGUCACCUCUCCUAUUCUAAUGCUAAUAUACAGUUCCAUGUAUAAGAUCCUCCACUUUAUUUCAAAUUUUUAUACUGUACAUGGUGAAGUGAAACACGAUUGAUUUUUUUUGUUGUUGGUAUGGUGUGAAUGUGGGACUGGUAUUCUAACUAUUAACUUGUUUUUUAAAAUAAUUGUUAUUACUGUAUGCAUAAUAAAAGCAUCCCCUGUGGUCUGCAGUGCAGCCCUGGAUGUGGUAUGCAUAUGUCUUUGAUAAAGCCUUCUUCAUUGUGUCACUUAAAGGGACAUUUUACCUUAGCGGAAAAUACAUGAUAAGUUCAUUAUGCCAGGCGUAUUUCAAACACUAAUGCAUUGUAUACCAGUGAUGAAACAGACCAAACCAUCCUUGUAUUCUUAUGUCGUUACUGAAUGCUUUUACCUUGUGUGGUGUUCGGGUCUGCGGGACCC